GAAUUUUGGACAAUGGGCGAAAGCCUGAUCCAGCAAUGCCGCGUGCAGGAUGAAGGCCUUCGGGUUGUAAACUGCUUUUGUACGGAACGAAAAGCUUUUGGUUAAUACCCUGGAGUCAUGACGGCACCGUAAGAAUAAGCACCGGCUCACUACGUGCCAGCAGCCGCGGUCAUACGGAGGGUGGAAUCGUAAAUCGGAAUUACGGGGCGUAAAGCGUGGGCAGGCGGUGUGGUAAGACAGAGGUGAAAUCCCCGGGCUCAACCUGGGAACUGCCUUUGUGACUGCAAGGCUAGAGUACGGCAGAGGGGGGUGGAAUUCCGCGUGUAGCAGUGAAAUGCGUAGAUAUGCGGAGGAACACCGAUGGCGAAGGCAACCCCCUGGGCCUGUACUGACGCUCAUGCACGAAAGCGUGGGGAGCAAACAGG
rnacentral:rRNA from 1 species